UAAGGAGGGUGCAAGCGUUACUCGGAAUCACUGGGCGUAAAGGGCGCGUAGGCGGCCUAGCAAGUCUGGUGUGAAAGCCCAGGGCUCAACCCUGGAAGGGCACUGGAAACUGUUAGGCUUGAGUUCCGGAGAGGAGGGGGGAAUUCCCGGUGUAGCGGUGAAAUGCGUAGAUAUCGGGAUGAAUACCGGUGGCGAAGGCGCCCCUCUGGAAGGAAACUGACGCUGAGGCGCGAAAGCGUGGGGAGCAAACAGG
rnacentral:rRNA from 1 species